CACUACUAUAUAACAAAUAAUUUGAGGGAUGAGGCUGGUAAGAUUUCUGCUGCGUUACUACCCUCCGGGUAUCAUCCUGGAGUAUGAGCAGGGCAGUCAGACCAGGACGAGGACUAUCGACCUACUGGAUCUUACCGAGCGCAGUAAUAUCUACGAGCUUGUUGCGCAGCUUCAAGCAAAUGAGCCACUCAUUACUCCGUCCAAAACAGAUCAGGUAGCUAAGCUGCUCCUGAAGCUGCAGUCGAAGCUCUCUUCACCAGACAAGCACCAUUACAACCACUACAAAACUAUUCGUACUCACGUCCUCCCUGUCACUAACGUUAGCUUCAACAAAAGUGGAUCCAAAUUCGUGUCAGGUAGUUACGACCGCACAUGUAAGAUAUGGGACACCCACCAAGGUCAGGAGCUCCAUGUGUUAGACGGACACAAGAACGUUGUGUACGCUGUUGCUUUCAACAAUCCCUUCGCAGACAAGAUUGUAACUGGAUCCUUUGACAGGACUGCUAAGUUGUGGAGUACAGAGACAGGGAAAUGUUACCACACCUUUAAAGGGCACACUGCUGAAAUAGUGUGUGUCACAUUCAACAGUUCCAGUACCUUGGUAGCUACGGGGAGUAUGGAUACUAUGGGCAAGAUAUGGGAUGUGGAGACUGGGGUUGAGAUGGCUUCUUUACAGGGCCACAGUGCGGAGAUAAUCUCAAUACAGUUCAACAGUCUUGGAGACAAAGUGGUAACGGGCAGUUUCGACAACACCGUCGCUAUCUGGGACGUGGAAACUGGUCACAAAAUCUCCUCACUGAUUGGACACCGAGGUGAGAUCUCAAACGCGGUGAUUAGUUACGAUGACACUCUCAUUGGCACAGGAUCCAUGGACAAGAGUUGCAAGGUAUGGGACUGUAGGUCAGGACAGUGUGUUGAGACACUGUACGGGCACACUGACGAGGUACUUGACAUUUCGUUCGAUCACAGGGGAAAACAGCUGCUCUCUGUUUCUGCUGAUGCUACAGCCCGAGUAUUCGACGUUGGCUCCUACAAGUGUUUGGCCACGUUUGUGGGCCACGAACGUGAGAUCAGUAAAGGAACGUUUAAUCCUAGCGGUAAACGUGUUGCUACUGCCAGCAGUGAUAAAACUGUCAGGAUAUGGGAUAUAAACUCAGGGAAAUGUUUACAGACGUUGGAAGGGCACACAGACGAGGUGUUCAGUUGCCAGUUUAACUACUCGGGUGAUAUGCUGAUAAGUGGUAGUAAAGACAACACGUGUCGACUGUGGAAAGAUACGAACUCUGGAAAACUUGCCGGUGCUUUAUAGGAUUUGUCUUUCAAGGUUUUGUGAAAGACUGAUGCGGUCAGCUACCAAUUGCUCGGAAAUUGCCAUUUUUUGGGACAUUUCCGCGCGCGCGGUAACAUCUAUGGUAGUUUCGUUGCGCGCACGUACCGUCUUUUUGAAGCGAAGAUAACGAACAGCUUAAUUAAUGGCCGGAUCGAUUAAAUCUGGUUGGUUACAAAAUCUUGAACAUUGAAGAGUAGGCGCUUUGUUUUGGCUACCAUGUUGACCAUGGAAUAACAACUUUUCAGUAAUAUCUGGAUUGUUAUAUCAGUGUUGAAAUCAGUUGUUUAACAUUAAUUUUAUAGAAUAUAUCCAGAUAUCACACAUUCUAUCAGAUCAGUUUAAAGGUUAAAUUCAAAUCAGAUUGUUGAAGGGCUGUUUCAGAUAUUUUAUCUAUUUAUACCACACCAACAUGUAAUUAAAUGUUAUUAUAGUGUUUAUAGA